rnacentral:rRNA from 1 species
AUGAUAAAAGGGAAACUAAAGACACAUGUACAAAAACCUCCUACAGGAAUACACAAGGAAAUAAUACAAUGGGUCAAAAUAAAUAAUGAGGAUCAUCUCCAUACCAUUUUGCAUUUCUCGACAAAUAUAAUCUGUUUGGCUAUUCUAAGUGGUUCUUUUUUUCUGGGUAAAGAGGAACUUGUCAUUUUGAAUUCUUGGGUUCAGGAAUUCUUCUAUAAUUUAAAUGACUCAAUAAUAGCUUUUUUUAUUCUUUUAGUUACUGAUUUUUUUUGUUGGAUUUCACUCCACCCAUGGUUGGGAACUAGUAAUUCGUUGGGUCUACAACGAUUUUGGAUGGGCUCCUAA